CAGCCUGCCCAGUGACUACGGGUUCAACGGCCGCGGUAUUUUGACCGUGCAAAGGUAGCGCAAUCACUUGUCUCUUAAAUAGAGACCUGUAUGAAUGGCUAGACGAGGGCUUAACUGUCUCCCCCUUCCAGUCAGUGAAAUUGAUCUAUCCGUGCAGAAGCGGGUAUAAUUAUACAAGACGAGAAGACCCUUUGGAGCUUAAGGUACAAAAUUCAGCCACGUUAAAUGACUCUACAAAAAGCAAGAACCUAGUGGCCAGUGAAGUUUUACCUUCGGUUGGGGCGACCACGGAGGAAAGAUAAGCCUCCGAGUGGACUGGGCUAAAUCCCCAAAGCCAAGAGAUACAUCUAUAAGCCGCAGAACAUCUGACCAAGAAUGAUCCGACUGAAAAGCCGAUCAACGAACCAAGUUACCCUAGGGAUAACAGCGCAAUCCUCUCCCAGAGUCCAUAUCGACGAGGGGGUUUACGACCUCGAUGUUGGAUCAGGACAUCCUAAUGGUGCAGCCGCUAU
rnacentral:rRNA from 1 species